rnacentral:lncRNA from 1 species
UGUCAAUCACUCAUUUUCUUUGUAAAAUUUUGGUUGUUGCAAAGGUUGUCAUAUAAAAUAAUGUUCAAAUAACACAACUCAAAUAAGAUACUCGGGUGAAAUCAAUAUGAAUAGAUACAUUUACACUUAAUGUAUCGUGACAUAGGCUCUAAUGGUAAAAGUUAUCCGAGAAACCAUUUUGCUUAACGUUUAAUGAUUUUACAUGUAUUUGCCAAUUUGUAAAAACAAGAGAAUAUUUUAGGCUUAAACGUACUUUUAACCCUCUAAGUUUGCAAAAGUUGCAAUUUGGGCCCCCUAUUAAAAAAAAUGACAAAAGUGACCCCCCAUGUUAUCCCUUUUUGCAAAACCUCAAUUUUAACUUAGUCAAACUUAUGUGUCACGCCACAUCAAUUAAAAAAUCGCCAACUAUCUACUUUUUGAAUUUAAAAUAAAUGUAAAAGCCACAAGUGUAUAUGUAGAAUUAAAAUAAUAAAAAAAGAAAGAAUUAAGGAGAGAAGCGCUUGGUCUUCUUCUCUUCUUCCUCUAUAACAUCAAAUUCAGGUAAGAAAGGAAAAUUAAACCCAGAAAGCACGUGAGUCUUCAUAUCUUCAUCUCCAUGCUUCAUAGCAAUCUUCAUAUCUUCCAAUCCAAUCCAGAAAGAAAGAAAAAAAAAACGAAUCCUUCAUUUAUUAAUUGAAAAACUAAACCUGCAUACACUUUAAUUCUCAUUUCUUCAGAACAGUAUCAACAGUGAUGAGAAAAUAAAAGCGUAGGUCUGUUGAAAAAUAGUGUAUUAGGUCGAAAUCACCCAAUUUCAUCUCCAACUAUACCUCCAGCACCAAUUUAGUAUCCAACUUAAGAUGAAUUCAAAGAUCCAUUAGAAUUUAUUCACAAAAUCAGACACGAAGCUGUACCGUACGGAAAUUGAUUUGGAGUUUCAAAAUUUGAUUUUGAGAGAAAAAAUACUCACCUUUUAGAACACAUGUUGAUUGAGCCCUUUAAUUUGAAGAAGGUACAAGAAGAAUUAACUAUGGAUGUGGAAGAGAUUAGAGAAAAGAGGAUUUAAUUGGAUGAUUUUAUGAAAAUCAAGAGGUUUUUUUUUGGUUACAAUGAAAAUCAAGAGGUUGAAGAUGAAGAAGCUUUGCCCCUUUUUCCAGAAUUUUAAUUCACGUGCUAUUUCCUUAAAAAAAAAAAAAACAAUUGCUCUUUCUUUUUUUGCUUUUUGAUUUAUAUUUAAUUUCAUUUCUAAAUCUGGCUUUUUUAUUUAAUUUUUAAUUGUAAAAAACACAUGUGGCAUGCCAUGUAGGCUUGAUCAAGUCAAAAUUGACGUUUUGCAAAAGGGGAUAAAUAUGGGAUGUCACUUUUGCCAUUUUUUUUAAUAGGGGGCCAAAAUUGCAACUUUUACAAACUUAGGGGGUAAAAAGUGUGUUUAAGCCAAUAUUUUAAUGGCUACUUACAAUUUUGAUGACCAAUUUUAUUUUCUUGAGUUAAUUUUAGAAAUAUAUUCAAACAAUACCAUAAGUGUCAAAUGAGUUUAGCUCAAUUGUUUAGGUUUGAUGGAGGAGUGGGAGCGGGAUUCUAGUUGGAUCAUCGUAGUGAUGUGGGUGAAUCACACUUGAGGGGGAGAUUGAUGGAAAUCAAGUGUGAAUGGAGAACCAUUAUAAGAGAGGAGAACCAUUAACCCAAUGCCUCGAGGUUUUGGGUCAGAGUGUUGCGUCUCUCUCUUAGUGGAUCCGAUAUGUUUAGCCCAUUACCACUCCCAGCAAGCUAAUUUUGGUCACUGAACUAUUCGACCAAAAAAUUAAAGUUCUACAUAAUUUUAUAAAAAUAAAAUAAAG